GUACGGGAGGCAGCAGUGGGGAGUAUUGGACAAUGGGGGCAACCCUGAUCCAGCAAUGCCGCGUGAGUGAUGAAGGCCUUAGGGUUGUAAAGCUCUUUCGACGGGGAAGAUGAUGACGGUACCCGUAGAAGAAGCCCCGGCUAACUUCGUGCCAGCAGCCGCGGUAAUACGAAGGGGGCUAGCGUUGUUCGGAUUUACUGGGCGUAAAGGGCGCGUAGGCGGUGCAAUAAGUCAGGCGUGAAAGCCCCGGGCUCAACCCGGGAAUUGCGCUUGAUACUGUUGCGCUUGAAUCCAGGAGAGGAUGGCGGAAUUCCCAGUGUAGAGGUGAAAUUCGUAGAUAUUGGGAAGAACACCAGUGGCGAAGGCGGCCAUCUGGCCUGGAAUUGACGCUGAGGCGCGAAAGCGUGGGGAGCAAACAGGAUUAGAUACCCCGGUAGG
rnacentral:rRNA from 1 species